UUAAAAAAUUUGUAAUGCAACUAUGUGCUCAAAAAGAUCUGCGUCAUUUUUUAAUUGGGAGAAGUCUCAAGGCCAGCCUUUUUCAUGGGCGUGCUCAGCUGACAGCGAGGCAAAGCAUUUGUAAGCAAGCAGACGCAUGGCAGCCUAUCAAAUGGUCACUGCCUGGCACAGCUGAUGUUACCAUAAAGGAAAACAAAGCGAGGGCCCUUUGUACAAAAGGUUUUUCUUUUUUCUCUUUGACUAAACAUUUCCUUUUCGAGAGACAGCAAAAACAAAUAGCGUUGAGGAGGAAGGUUUUUUUCACACGCACUGAAAAGAAACUUUAAUUUUCUUUAUAUUCCCCCUGCAGACAAGGAAUUAACAAGAAGCCGAAUCGAGUAUCGGACACCAGACUUGACCCUCCUGGAUCCUUAGCUGCUGCUAAUUACAGCUCACUGCACUAGAGGUUGCAACCAUCCCGCCCGUCUACGAAGAGCUGCCUGAGGCACAGCAACGAUGCCAGCAGCCACCCGGCAAGCAAAUCGGAGGCAGCGCCAAGAAGACAGCCCACGCCUGCCGUCCCAGCGCGAUCCCCCAGGCCACGCCAAGUUACCACUCAGCCGAACAGGAGCUGACACUUAUCAGCAAUUUUUGUGAGCCGAGAUGGAAGGUUAUAUUGGCCACUUAUCUGCAGCUUUGCCACAUCUGUCUCCAGAGCCUUGACACCAAUUGUGCUGCAUGUAUCAGGCAUUGAGACCACCCUACUACCAUUGGCUGGCACUUCUCAGGAUAUGAAACACCUUUCAGUCGCCUAAGGCAAGUGUUCACUGGCAGAUCUCAAUUAGUAGUGCAGUUGUGACCACACCAUCGGGUGAGCCAGUAAAGGCUGUGUCGCCAGGUGUGAGAGACAGUCAUUUGCUCGCACAAGGGCACAUGACUCCACUUAGAAAAACAUCUCAGGUAAGAGAUGAACAACUUUCCUUGGGCUCAUGAGCAAGGGUGAAAAAUACAUGUGCUGCUUGCUGCUUUCCCUUCAAUGUAAAGGACCAGCAAAGCCAUAUUCAGGUUCCAAGGAAGUGCGUGCAAUUGUAGCAUCAAUUGGGUUUCUACAUUAAACACGUACAAAAAACCCCAGACUUAUUUCACUCUUGCAUUUGUUUAUGCUCACCAUUGUUUUUUCUGCACUGCAAGCACACUUCCCCCUGACAAGUCAUGGUUUGUUUUCUCCUGCAUCGUCUUUCAUGUGCCUUCUGUUUCUUCCAUGUGUCCUCAUCCCUUGUAGUCGCUACAUCCCCAGCUGUAGACAUUUCUUUUUCUUUAUCUUGCCAGUAUCUUAACCUAAAUCCUCUCUCGCCCUCCCUGUAUAUAGAGGGAGCUUCCUAGCUCUUUUGAUAGAUAGAGAUCCCAGCCCCUAGCUAGAGAUCUCGUGCUACUUCUGUCUAGUCCUAUAUCUCUUCUCUAGCCCUGACUGUAGCUAGAGAGAGAUCUUUCUAUCUUUGUAUACUGCUGACAGUCCUCUCUCUUUCUUGCUCACUGCACCUUGCAUUUAAUAGAAUAAAUGGAAGACAGGAGGGAAGUGUUUGCCCAAAUAGGAACUAGAAUCAGGGACACCUUUCUACAGUAGUAGCCAUCUGUCUGAGCCAUACAUUUCCCCAGCUUGUGCUUAUCUCUUGUUCUUGGUUUCCCAGAGGGCCGGCUUCAACCAGGAGGGCUGGAAAGAAGGCUGCUUAGUACCUCAUCGGUGGCCUGAUGAAUUGUGCUAGGAAAUCAGAGAGAUGCAGGGAUCAAAUCUCCGCUGGGGGAGAUGGCCUAGAACCUGGGACUCCUGCUUCUUGAAGCAUGUGAAACGAGGAAGAGAAACCUCUUCUCUGUCAAGCUUUGUAGGAAUAUCGAGCAGCUGAAAUGACUGGACAGCAAGUUGAUCUAAUUUAAAACAACAACUAAAAAAGGUGUGCUUCGAACAUUAAAUACGUUAAAUAGUAAAAUUGUAGCUUCUUUUUCAGUCUUGGGAAAAAGCAGUUGUUAAAUUAAAAAAUAUAACUAGACUGUUAAUUUUUAAGCUGUGCACAUAUGACUAGUUAAUAUGCUGGUAUGACGCUAGUACAGUUAGAAGGUCUAACACACCUACAGAGCAAGCUAAACAGUGUUAAUCUAACUCUUAUGGGCCAGCUCUGGCAGUUGAUCUAGAAGUUUAAAACUUAAUUUUUAUUUUUUUUUUCCACUCAGUAGAGAAACUGCCUAAGACCGACUCCAUCACAAAAAUAGUUUGCAUUUCUCUUUCUUAAUAGUUUAUAUGUAGUUAAUGGAAUUGUAUUUACAGUAUUUUUUUUUCAGGAUUCACAAGUUCAAAAAACCUUAUAUCACCUCUUUCAACAAAAAAAAGCACUUAUAGAAAAAAGGACACGCAAAACUUUUGGAGUCCUUACCUUAUUGCCGAAAAUAGAUAGAAUUAGGUUAACAGAGACAUCACAAAUGAAAAGACCGGCUAGAGAACCUGCUACGCCACUACACUCUCAGCUCCCAGACAACACAAAUGAAAAACUUGACUUCAGCCCACCUGCUGCACUUGCUCUACCUACAAUUCAGUGUGCGCUAAAAUCCCACCUGAAGAGUUUUUACAGUUUCAGAAUUGGUACCAAAAGACUGAGAAUCAUGUUACCGUCUCAGCAUCCUUUAAGCAACAACUACAUAAAACAAAAGGGAAGG